rnacentral:rRNA from 1 species
GUAUGAAUGGCUAAAUGAGGGCCAAACUGUCUCCUACGACCAAUCAAUGAACCUGAUCUUCUAGUACAAAAGCUAGAAUACACCCAUAAGACGAGAAGACCCUGUGGAGCUUAAAAUAUCAAUACUAACCAGCCCCACCACCCAAGCAGGCCCACACCACCAAAAUAGUAAACAUUUUUAGUUGGGGCGACUACGGAACAAAACCUAACUUCCACGACAUGGGCACUCCACCCAAUAAAGGUCAACAAACCAACAUAUCACUUGACCCAGUAACACUGAUCAACGGACCAAGUUACCCCAGGGAUAACAGCGCCAUCCUCUUCAAGAGCCCAUAUCGCCAAGAGGGUUUACGACCUCGAUGUUGGAUCAGGACUUCCAGGUGGUGCAACCGCUACCAACGGUUCGUUUG